CACCAAUAUCCAGAGCACCGGGCAAGUCAGAGACAUCUUGGAAGGGAUUCAGAUUUAGCAGUCUUGUGAGUCUUGAGAGAAUGCCAAGGCUCCCAGCCUUUCCGG
rnacentral:lncRNA from 1 species